rnacentral:lncRNA from 1 species
AGCAAUUGCAGCAAAUCCCCGAACAAUCCCGCUAUGAAGCAAUCCGUGCCAUCAUCUACUCCAUCAUCCUGCAAGAACAACAACAGGGCUUUGUCCAACCUCAGCAGCAACAACCCCAACAGUCAGGUCAAGGUGUCUCCCAAUCCCAACAGCAGUCGCAGCAGCAGCUCGGACAAUGUUCUUUCCAACAACCUCAACAGCAACUGGGUCAACAGCCUCAACAACAACAACAACAGGUACUACAGGGUACCUUUUUGCAGCCACACCAGAUAGCUCACCUUGAGGCGGUGACUUCCAUUGCACUCCGUACCUUGCCAACGAUGUGCAGUGUCAAUGUGCCGUUGUACAGCGCCACCACCAGUGUGCCAUUCGGCGUUGGCACCGGAGUUGGUGCCUACUGAUAAGAAAAGUUGU